UAAAAUGUUAUUUCUUUUAAUUAUUUCUAACUAUAUUUCUCCAGGUAGAAGCACAAGAUCCCUCCGCAGAAAGCACACGAGGCUCCCUACAGCGAGGCUGGACUCUCCACGUGCAGGAUUGCAGGAAGAAAUGGCGUUUGAGGAGGGAACUGUUGCUCUGGUGUCCAAGAUAAGGAUCCUUUCUCAUCCCAGCAAGUGUUCAUGGCACUUAAGGACCAGGUUGUGAUGUCCCUCAACAAAUGGACUGACACACUGGUUUAAGGUUGACAUAUCAUGCACAUGGACUUUGAAACAGAACUACAAUAUUUUUGGUACCACAGUAAUGAUACAGUCCCGAUCAAAAGUUUGGUGUGGUUGGAUCUUAACAAAGUUUCAAGUAGAACUUACUUAACAAUAUGCUACAACAUGAAAGUGAGACAAAACAAAAAUAUUAAUAAACCUUUUAUUGAAAACAGCUAUUAAACUGAAAUGUUUUUGCAGAUGAUCGAAGGUUUAGGGCCACAUGCUUUUAACAGGUCAAAUCUGAGCACAAGUGUGGAUUCAGUGUCAUUUUCUGUCAGGUUUUCACACCGUCAUGUUCCAUAACUCUCAGGGUCUUUAAGGAAAUUCAAAAUUACUGUUAUUGCGUCCCACCUCAAUGACAAUGAAUACACAUUUUUUGCACAGAUUUGGCCUUUUAACCUCUUAACCUCCACCUGAACCAAGCUCAUUUUCUCUAGUUCGGCCGACCUUACCCAAAUCUAAAAGCUUCUUAACUGGAGAACUGUAGGCCAGUGUAACAUCUGAUUUGAAAGCUAAGACUAACAAAACUGAUCUAAACUGAUCUUUUUGCUUGCGUUGUUGCCGUCACUUUAACCUUUUUUUUUCCAUCGCUUUUUUCAUCACUUAUUUGCCCUUGCUUUUUUAAAUUUUCAUCGUCUUUGUCUUGUGUUUGCUAUUUUGACCCUUUUUUUUUCAUGAAACUUUCUUGGAUUUGGGUAACGAUGAACUGGAGAAAAUGUGCUCGGUUCAGGUGAGGGUCAAGAGGUUAAAGGCAUGUGGUCUUAAACUUUUGAUUAGCUGCAAAACCGCCAGUUUAAUUGUUUUCAUUAAAAGCUUUACUAAUGUUUUGUCUCGCUCCCAUUUCUUCUUGUUGCAUAAUAAAGUUCUACUUGGAACCUCGUUAAGAUCCAACCAUGCAAAAAUGUGAUUUCCUUUUUGCCAUCUUUCAACUGGUCGGGACUUGAUCAGGACUAUAUAUAUAUUACAUUUUAUCAUUUUGAAACUCAAGCACAAGGGUUUUAAAUUACUGUCUGGAGCUCCCUCUACAGACAACAGAGUGAAUUACUGUUUCAACAAACUUUGGUACCGAGCUGUCCUACGCUUCAAUCGGAUGUUGGAUUAUGGGCUUUAAAAAUAUGGAGGAGAGUUUUUGUUUUGUUUUCCCUGAUGCAAUAUAACCAGAUACAGAUGGAGCUCCAACAGUAGAAAACUUAACAACCAAGGUGGAUAUAAUGACUCCAAGUCUGUUUGACCAGGAAACAAGAUCUUGGACACAAACAUGUACAUUGUUUUGACCACUAUACAAACAAUGUUUUGCUGUCUGCAUCUUUUACAGUUCCCUUUUGUUGGUGGAAAGUUGUCAUAAAUAAAGUUGUCAUAGAAAAUGUUCUUCCUGUAUGUGUUAUCAUUUCUCACAUGGUUUAGUGUUGUAUGUUUCCUCAAUUUAAUUGAGGGAAUAAACCUUUUUAAAAUGGGUUUAAGUUAAUGUAGCAUUUAAAUAGUUUGAGUAUAAUAAGCUUGAAUCAUUUGAGUUCAUUAACCUAUACUUUUAAUGCUAUUGUUGACUAAAUGAUUUGAGCUACAGUUGACUAAAUGAUUUGAGCUAUCACUGACUAAAUGAUUUGAGC
ensembl:lncRNA